ACUAUACUAUGUAUUAAAAUUUAAAAGUUGUUUAACUUCAUUGGCAUAACAAUUAACAAUUGGUCCCAUUUAAUUGGAAUCUGUUACAGUUAUAUUCAUCGAUGAAGAAAAAUGUAUAGCAUGUCAAGUUAUUUUGUCAUACUGAGGCUUGUGUCGGAGGCAACGGAGUUUCAAAAUGUGGAGCAAUCAGAGUCAAUGCUUAAAACUAUUUUACUGGGUAUACUUACGUCAACGUCAUCAUGUUGAACACGUUUCAUGAGGAACCCAAGACUACCAAUUUCCCUGCAUUAGGAUUUGCGGUACAGAAAGCACAUAUUGGUCUAUUUGUUGGGAUCGCAAGGGAACCACUCGACAGAGCGACGACGGAAGGCUGUACAACGUUUAAUGUAGCUCCAUAUGGAUACAGAAAUUUUAAAUCUCUGAAAAUUGACAGAAGUUAAAUAAAUAACGCUUGUGAAGGUA